GCGUGCAUGUGUGUGUGUGAGAGAGAGAGAGAGAGGAGUGUGUGUUCUUGCGAAAAUCUGAGUUUGGGGUUUGUAGAAGCACGUGGGUAAGUGUGAGGGUGUGGAAACUUACGUGGGACAGUGUUUUGUUUGUAUUUCUACUUGGUGAUUUCGACCUUGUGUUUAUGCAUCUGGAUCCCUCUUGGCGUGUUUGAGAGUUUGCUUGUGAGAAUGCUUGUGAGCCAGCGCCUGCACUGGUGUGUGUGUGACAGAGCAGAGCAAGAGAGAGGGAGAGCCUGUGACUGGGGGCGGGUUUGCCGGGGGGGAGGGAUUUUGGAAAGGCUUCACUGGUGAAAGUGAGCUGUUCCACCUGCCUCUGCCCACCUGUGUGCGUUGGGGGGUGUGUCUGUCCCAUGUCUCCCGCUGUGGUCUGUGCCCCCUCCGCCCCUCACACCUUGACUCCAAAGCCUCAGCUUCCUCAACUGUAAUUUGGGGACACCCAAACACUGGUUGCUGUUGUGAUUUUUUCUUUCUUUCUUUCUUAAACCUUAUUUUAUUGGGAGUUCCCACUGCGGCUCAGCAGUAACGAACCCAAUUAGUAUCCAUGAGGAUGCAGUUUCCAUCCCUGGCCAUGCUCAGGGGGUUAAGGAUCCGGCCUUGUCGAGAGCUGUGGGUCCCGGACUCGGCUGCUGCAACAGUGAUUUGACCCCUCGCCAGGGAACUUUCAAAUGCCGCAGGUGCGGCCCUAAAAGAAGAUAAAUAAAUAAAUCUUAUUUUAUUGGCGUAUAGUUGCUUGUUGUGAUUCUGAUGAUCUUAUCCUCUCUCCUCCAUCAGCCUCCUGUCUGAACACUGGCCAGUCCAUUCCACUCUGGUCAAACUGAUGACACCUUGUUUUUUAAGCCUGAAACAUGCUUCUCCCAGUUUGUCCAGCAACUAUUGCUAGUGUCACCUUGGAUCCACUGAGGACAUGCUUUACGUUGAAUACCAGGAGUACGUUAUGAAAAAAAUCAUGUACAAGCACAGGGCACAAAAAGGGAGAAGGUCCACCUUCAAUCGGAGUCCCCCACCUGAUCCCACAUGCCAACCCCAGAGAAAACACCUACGCGGCCUGCUGGACUCUCUGGGUAUUUUAUUUUAUUUAUUUAUUUAUUUAUUUUUACUCUUUUUUACUUUUUUAUUUUUUGGCAGCAUACGGAGUUCCCCAGUGAGCUUCAGCUGUGGUAACUCCAUAUCCUUUAACCCACUUCGAUGGGGAUCAAACCUGCAUCCUGGCACUGCAGAGACACCACAGAUCCCCUUUUGCCACUGCGGACACUCCUCUGGCUAUUUUAUUUUAUUUUGCUUUUUAGGGCCACACCUGUGGCAUAUGGAGGUUCCCAGGCUAGGGGUCGAAUCAGAGCUACAGCUGCCGACCUACACCACAGCCACAGCAACUCGGGAUCCGAGCCACAUCUGCAACCUACACCACAGCUCAUGGUAACCCCAGAUCCUUAACCCACGGAGCAAGGCCAGGGAUCGAGCCCACAACCUCAUGGUUCCUAGUCGGAUUCAUUUCCACUGCGCCAUGAUGGGAACUCCUCAUCUGGCUAUUUUAAAAGUAUACUCUAGGGGUUCCCUGGUGGCACAAUGGGUUAAGAGUCUGGCAUUGUCACUUUUGUGGCUCAGGCUGCUGUUGUGGUGUGGGUUUGAUCCUUGACCCAGGAACUUCCUUAUGCACAGGCAAGGCCAAAAAAAACCAGUGUGUUUUAGAGAAACUCCGUAAGCAUGAUGCUACAUGAAAGCCACCAGUCAUAAAAGACCACAUAAUGUGUGCUCCUAUUUCUAGGAAGUAGCCUCGAUAGGCAGAUCUAUAGAGACUAUGUAUAGGAAGGGGAUUAGUGGCUGCCAGAGGCUGAGAGGGAGCUGGAAAUAGGAAGCGACUGCUAAUACAUACAGGAUUUCUUUGGGGAUAAUGAAAAUGUUAU
rnacentral:lncRNA from 1 species